rnacentral:rRNA from 1 species
AACGAACGCUGGCGGCAUGCCUAACACAUGCAAGUCGAACGAGACCUUCGGGUCUAGUGGCGCACGGGUGCGUAACGCGUGGGAACCUGCCCUUAGGUUCGGAAUAACUCCCCGAAAGGGGUGCUAAUACCGGAUAAUGUCUUCGGACCAAAGAUUUAUCGCCUUUGGAUGGGCCGGCGUUGGAUUAGCUAGUUGGUAGGGUAAAAGCCUACCAAGGCGACGAUCCAUAGCUGGUCUGAGAGGAUGAUCAGCGACACUGGGACUGAGACACGGCCCAGACUCCUACGGGAGGCAGCAGUGGGGAAUAUUGGAAAAUGGGCGAAAGCCUGAUCCAGCAAUGCCGCGUGAGUGAUGAAGGCCUUAGGGUUGUAAAGCUCUUUUACCCGGGAUGAUAAUGACAGUACCGGGAGAAUAAGCUCCGGCUAACUCCGUG